rnacentral:rRNA from 1 species
CGGCGGACGGGUGAGUAAUGUCUGGGAAACUGCCCGAUGGAGGGGGAUAACUACUGGAAACGGUAGCUAAUACCGCAUAACGUCGCAAGACCAAAGAGGGGGACCUUCGGGCCUCUUGCCAUCAGAUGUGCCCAGAUGGGAUUAGCUAGUAGGUGGGGUAACGGCUCACCUAGGCGACGAUCCCUAGCUGGUCUGAGAGGAUGACCAGCCACACUGGAACUGAGACACGGUCCAG